CAGGUGUGAUGGGGGGCGGUGAUGAGGCGAGAUCAUCCAGCUGUGAAACACCCACAAUUCCCUGUGCUGUGUGAACCAGGCGCCGGCACAGCUGUCUGUGAGUUCCACAGGUACCUGCAAAGUACCGAAUAAUCCGGCACUGAAGGACUGAGGGCCCCAGCUAGACCCCCCCCCCCCAGUCUCUCUCUCUGCAGCCUGGCUCUGACCCCCAGUUCACCAACUGAUCCUUGCGGUGAUUGUCUUGAAGGACUGCACUACCUCUGCAGGUGGGGGACUGCAUUCACCAGGUCAACUCGAAGAGUUGCCAUUGCAU